rnacentral:rRNA from 1 species
GACGAACGCUGGCGGCGUGCUUAACACAUGCAAGUCGAGCGGUAAGGCCCUUUCGGGGGGUACACGAGCGGCGAACGGGUGAGUAACACGUGGGUGACCUGCCCUCAGCUCUGGGAUAAGCCUGGGAAACCGGGUCUAAUACUGGAUAUGACUCCAUGACGCAUGUUGUGGGGUGGAAAGCCUUGUGCGGCUGAGGAUGGGCCCGCGGCCUAUCAGCUUGUUGGUGGGGUGAUGGCCUACCAAGGCGACGACGGGUAGCCGGCCUGAGAGGGCGACCGGCCACACUGGGACUGAGACACGGCCCAGACUCCUACGGGAGGCAGCAGUGGGGAAUCUUGCGCAAUGGGCGAAAGCCUGACGCAGCGACGCCGCGUGAGGGAUGACGGCCUGG